GAUGAACGCUAGCGGCAGGCUUAACACAUGCAAGUCGAGGGGUAGGAGAAGCUUGCUUUUCUGAGACCGGCGCACGGGUGCGUAACGCGUAUGCAAUCUACCUUUCACAGAGGGAUAGCCCAGAGAAAUUUGGAUUAAUACCUCAUAGUAAUACGCCUUGGCAUCAAGAUGUAUUUAAAGAUUUAUCGGUGAAAGAUGAGCAUGCGUCCCAUUAGCUAGUUGGUAUGGUAACGGCAUACCAAGGCAACGAUGGGUAGGGGUCCUGAGAGGGAGAUCCCCCACACUGGUACUGAGACACGGACCAGACUCCUACGGGAGGCAGCAGUGAGGAAUAUUGGACAAUGGGCGCAAGCCUGAUCCAGCCAUGCCGCGUGCAGGAUGACGGUCCUAUGGAUUGUAAACUGCUUUUAUACAGGAAGAAACACCUCUACGUGUAGAGACUUGACGGUACUGUAAGAAUAAGGAUCGGCUAACUCCGUGCCAGCAGCCGCGGUAAUACGGAGGAUCCAAGCGUUAUCCGGAAUCAUUGGGUUUAAAGGGUCCGUAGGCGGUCAGAUAAGUCAGUGGUGAAAGCCCAUCGCUCAACGGUGGAACGGCCAUUGAUACUGUCUGACUUGAAUUAUUAGGAAGUAACUAGAAUAUGUAGUGUAGCGGUGAAAUGCUUAGAGAUUACAUGGAAUACCAAUUGCGAAGGCAGGUUACUACUAAUAUAUUGACGCUGAUGGACGAAAGCGUGGGUAGCGAACAGGAUUAGAUACCCUGGUAGUCCACGCCGUAAACGAUGGAUACUAGCUGUUGGGAGCAAUCUCAGUGGCUAAGCGAAAGUGAUAAGUAUCCCACCUGGGGAGUACGAACGCAAGUUUGAAACUCAAAGGAAUUGACGGGGGCCCGCACAAGCGGUGGAGCAUGUGGUUUAAUUCGAUGAUACGCGAGGAACCUUACCAAGGCUUAAAUGUAGAUUGACCGGUUGGAAACAGAC
rnacentral:rRNA from 1 species